rnacentral:rRNA from 1 species
GAAGGGGGCUAGCGUUGCUCGGAAUUACUGGGCGUAAAGGGCGCGUAGGCGGACAGUUUAGUCAGAGGUUAAAGCCCAGGGCUCAACCUUGGAAUCGCCUUUGAUACUGGCUGUCUUGAGUACGGGAGAGGUGUGUGGAACUCCGAGUGUAGAGGUGAAAUUCGUAGAUAUUCGGAAGAACACCAGUGGCGAAGGCGACACACUGGCCCGUUACUGACGCUGAGGCGCGAAAGCGUGGGGAGCAAACAGGAUUAGAUACCCUGGUAGUCCACGCUGUAAACGAUGAGUGCUAGUUGUCGGCAUGCAUGCAUGUCGGUGACGCAGCUAACGCAUUAAGCACUCCGCCUGGGGAGUACGGUCGCAAGAUUA